rnacentral:rRNA from 1 species
AGCGAACGCUGGCGGCAGGCUUAACACAUGCAAGUCGAGCGCCCCGCAAGGGGAGCGGCAGACGGGAGAGUAACACGUGGGAACGUACCCUUCAGUUCGGAACAACCCAGGGAAACUUGGGCUAAUACCGAAUACGUCCGUAAGGAGAAAGAUUUAUCGCUGAAGGAUCGGCCCGCGUCUGAUUAGCUAGUUGGUGAGGUAACGGCUCACCAAGGCGACGAUCAGUAGCUGGUCUGAGAGGAUGAUCAGCCUCACUGGGACUGAGACACGGCCCAGACUCCUACGGGAGGCAGCAGUGGGGAAUAUUGGACAAUGGGCGCAAGCCUGAUCCAGCCAUGCCGCGUGGAUGAUGAAGGCCUUAGGGUUGUAAAGUCCUUUUAACGGGGAAGAUAAUGACGGUACCCGUAGAAUAAGCCCCGGCUAACUUCGUGCCAGCAGCCGCCGUAACAC